rnacentral:lncRNA from 1 species
UAUUCUCCUCCAUUUCGCAUUGUUCUUUAUUCUUCUCUUUUAUAUUUGAGUGUUAUUUGUUGACUGCCUGUAUGUAGUACAGAAUGAAUUUUCAAUCCUUUGAUUUCAUUGCUUUUUUUUAGAGCUCUAUGUUGUGUUUUCUAUUCCUCAUUUCUUUAGUUUCUUAUCAAAAAAAUUUUAUUUACUUUCAAGUACAUUGUGGUUUUAAAAUUUGAUAUCUACUCCUUUCUCUACCCUACUAUAAGCGUAAGGGUAGAAUUUUCAGGUCUCCCGUCGUCAAGACAAGUUUAUUGGGAAUUAGUUCUUGGAUAAGUUUCCUCCGUAUUCCAUUUUCUCUCAAAUUUUGCGUUGUUCUUUAUAUUUAUCUUUUAUGUUUUCGUAUUAUACGUCUACUGUAUGUGUGUACUAGAAAAUUAAUUUUGAAUCCGUUAAUUUCUUUGUUUGUUUUUUAUCUUGAUGUUGCAUUGUCUAUUCCUCAUUUCUUUAAUUUUGUAUCAGCAUAAUUUGAUUUCCUUUCAACGAUAUUGUGCCCUAAGAGUUAAUUUUCUUAUUCUCGUUUCUACAUUUGAUAUCUACUCCUUUCUCUAUCUUCUAUAAGCGUAAGGGUAGAAUUUUCAGGUCUCUCGAGGAAAAGAUAAGUUUAUUGGGAAAUACUUGUAAGGUAAGUUUCCUCUGUAUCCCCUAUUCUCCUCCAUUUCACAUUGUUCUUCAUUCUUUUCUUUUAUGUUUGAGUGUUAUUUGUGUACCGCAUGUGUGUAGUAGAGAAAUAAUUUUCAAUCCUUUGAUUUCUUUGUUUUUUUUUAAAGCUUGAUAUUGUGUUUUCUAUUCCUCAUUUCUUUAGUUUCGUAUCAGAAUAAUUUGAUUUACUUUCAAGGACAUUGUGGUUUUAACAUUUGAUAUCUACUCCUUUCUCUACCUUGCUUUAAGCGUAAGGGUAGAAUUUUAAGGUUUCCUGUGGUGAAAAGAAGUUUAUUGGGAAUUCGUUCUUAGAUAAGUUUCCUCCAUAUUCCCUAUUCUCUCAAAUUUUGCACUGUUUUUCAUUUUUAUCUUUUAUGUUUUUGUGUUAUACGUCUACUGUAUGUGUGUACUAGAAAAUUAAUUUUGAAUCCAUUAAUUUCGUUGUUUGUAUUUGAUCUUGAUGUUGCAUUGUCUAUUCCUCAUUUCUUUAAUUUCGUAUCAGCAUAAUUUGAGUUCCUUUCAACAAUAUUGUGCCUUGAGAGUUAAUUUUCUUAUUCACUCCUUUCGCUACCUUCUAUAAGCGUAAGGGUAGAAUUUUCAAAUUUCCUGAGGAAAAGAGAAGUUUAUCGAGAAAUACUUGUCAGGUAAGUUUCCUUCGUAUCCCCUAUUCUCGUCCAUUUCGCAUUAUUCUUCAUUCUUCUCUUUUAUAUUUGAGUGUUAUUUGUUAACUGCCUAUAUGUAGUACAGAAUGAAUUUUCAAUCCUUUGAUUUCAUUGCUUUUUUUUAGAGCUCUAUGUUGUGUUUUCUAUUAUUCAUUUCUUUAGUUUCGUAUCAAAAUAAUUUUAUUUACUCUCAAGGACAUUAUGGUUUUAACAAUUGAUAUCUUCUCCUUUCUCUACCUGUAUUUAAGCAUAAGGGUAGAAUUUUCAAGUUUCCCAUGGUCAAGAGAAGUUUAUUGGGAAUUAGUUCUUCGGUAAGUUUCCUCCAUAUUCUCUAUUCUCUCAAAUUUUGCAUUGUUCUUCAUAUUUAUCUUUUCGUGUUAUAUGUUUACUGUAUGUGUGUACUAGAUAAUUAAUUUUAUAUCCGUUAAUUUCUUUGUUAGUUUUUUAUCUUGAUGUUGCAUUGUCUAUUCUUCAUUUCUUUAGUUUCGUAUCCGUAUAAUUUUAUUUCCUUUCUACAAUAUUGUGCCAUAAGAGUUAAUUUUCUUAAUCUCGUUUUUACAUUUGAUCUGUACUCCUUUUGCUACCCUUCUAUAAGCGUAAGGGUAUAACUUUCAGGUUUCCCUAGGAAAAUAGAAGUUUAUUUGGAAAUACUUGUCAUGUAAGUUUCCUCUGCAUCCCUUAUUCUUCUCCAUUUAGUAUUGUUGUUCAUUCUUCUCUUUUAUGUUUAAGUGCUAUUUGUUGACCGCAUGUAUGUAGUAGAGAAUUAAUUUUCAAUCCUUUCAUUUCUUUGUUUUUUGUAAGAGCUUGAUGUUGUGUUUUCUAUUCCUCAUUUCUUUAGUUUUGUAUCAUAAUAAUUUGAUUUACUUUCAAGGACAUUGUGGUUUUCACAUUUGAUCUAUACACCUUUCUCUACCUUUCUUUAAGCAUAAAGGUAGAAUUUUCAGGUUUCCCGUGGUAAAGAGAAGUUUAUUGCGAAUUAGUUCUUGGAUAAGUUUNNNNNNNNNNNNNNNNNNNNNNNNNNNNNNNNNNNNNNNNNNNNNNNNNNNNNNNNNNNNNNNNNNNNNNNNNNNNNNNNNNNNNNNNNNNNNNNNNNNNAAAUGUUAGAACCACAAUGUCNCUUGAGAGUAAAUAAAAUUAUUCGGAUACGAAACUAAAGAUAUGAGCAAUAGAAAACACAACAUCAAGCCUUAAAAAAAAAAAACAAAGAAAUCAAAGGAUUGAAAAUUAAUUCUCUACUACAUACAUGAGGUCAACAAAUAACACUCAAACAUAAAAGACAAGAAUAAAGAACAAUGCGAAAUGGAAGAGAAUAGGGGAUACGAAGGAAACUUACCUGACAAGGAUUUCCAAAUAAGCUUCUCUUCUCCUCGGGACACUUGAAAAUUCUACCCUUACGCUUAUAGAAAGUAGAGAAAAGAGUAGAGAUCAAAUGUAAAAACGAGAGUAAGAAAAUUAACUCUCAAGAGACAAUAUCGUUGAAAUGAAAUUAAAUUAUGCUGAUACGAAACUAAAAAAAUGAGGAAUAGAUAACGCAACAUCAAGAUAAAAAAAAAAACAAAGAAAUUAACGGAUUCAAAAAUAAUUUUCUAAUACACACAUACAAUAGACGUAUAACACAAAACCAUAAAAGAUAACAAUGAAAAACAAUGCAAAAUGUGAGAGAAUAAGGAAUACGGAGGAAACUUAUCCAAUAACCAAUUCCCAAUAAACUUUUGUUCACCACGGGAAACCUUAAAAUUCUACCUUUACGCUUAAAGCAAGGUAGAGAAAGGAGUAGAUAUCAAAUGUUAAAACCACAAUGUCCUUGAAAGUAAAUCAAAUUAUUCUGAUACGAAACUAAAGAAAUGAGGAAUAGAAAACACAAGAUCAAGCUUUAAAAAAAAAAACAAAGAAAUCAAAGAAUUGAAAAUUAAUUUUCUGCUACACACAUGCGGUCAACAAAUAACACUCAAACAUAAAAGACAAGAAUCAAGAACAAUGCGAAGUGGAAGAGAAUAGUGGAUACGAAGGAAACUUACCUGACAAGGAUAUCCAAAUAAGCUUCUCUUCUCCUCGGGACACUUGAAAAUUCUACCCCUACGCUUAUAGAAAGUAGAGAAAAGAGUAGAGAUCAAAUGUAAAAACGAGAGUAAGAAAAUUAACUCUCAAGAGACAAUAUCGUUGAAAUUAAAUUAAAUUAUGUUGAUACGAAACUAAAAAAAUGAGGAAUAGAUAACGCAACAUCAAGAUAAAAAAAAAAAACAAAGAAAUUAACGGAUUCAAAAAUAAUUUUCUAAUACACACAUACAGUAGACGUAUAACACAAAACUAUAAAAGGUAACAAUGAAAAACAAUGCAAAAUGUGAGAGAAUAGGGAAUACGGAGGAAACUUAUCCAAUAACCAAUUCCCAAUAAACUUUUGUUCACCACGGGAAACCUUAAAAUUCUACCCUUACGCUUAAAGCAAGGUAGAGAAAUGAGUAGAUAUCAAAUGUUAAAACCACAAUGUCCUUGAAAGUAAAUCAAAUUAUUCUGAUACGAAACUAAAGAAAUGAGGAAUAGAAAACACAAGAUCAAGCUUUGAAAAAAAAAACAAAGAAAUCAAAGGAUUGAAAAUUAAUUUUCUGCUACACACAUGCGGUCAACAAAUAACACUCAAACAUAAAAGAGAAGAAUGAAAAAUAAUGCGAAAUGGAGGAAAAUAGGGGAUAAGGAGGAAACUUACCUGACAAGUAUUUCCCCAUAAACAUCUUUUUUCCUCGAGAAACCUAAAAAUUCUACCCUUACGCUUAUAGAAGGUAGCGAAAGGAGUAGAGAUCAAAUGUAAAAAUGAGAAUAAGAAAAUUAACUCUUAAGGCUCAAUAUUGUUAAAAGGAAAUCAAAUUCUGCUGACACGAAACUAAAGAAAUGAGGAAUAGACAACGCAACAUCAAGAUAAAAAACAAACAAAGAAAUUAAUGGAUUCAAAAUUAAUUUUCUAGAACACACGUAUAGUAGACAUAUAACACGAAAACAUAAAAGAUAAAUAAGAAGAACAACGCAAAAUUUGAGAGAAUAGGGAAUAUGGAGAAAACUUAUUGAAGAACUAAUUCCCAAUAAACUUCUCUUGACCAGGGGAAACCUGAAAAUUCUACCCUUACGCUUAAAGCAAGGUAGAGAAAGGAGUAGAGAUCAAAUUUUAAAACCACAAUGUACUUGAAAGUAAAUAAAAUUAUUUUGAUAAGAAACUAAAGAAAUGAGAAAUAGAAAACACAACAUAGAGCAAUAAAAAAAAACAAUGAAAUCAAAGGAUUGAAAAUUCAUUAUCCACUAGAUACACGCAGUGAACAAAUAACACUCAAACAUAAAAAAAAAAAGAAUGAAGAACAAUGCGAAAUGGUGGAGAAUAGGGGAUACAGAGAAAACUUACCUGACAAAUAUUUCCAAACAAACCACUCUUUUCCUCGGGAAACCUAAAAAAUUCUACACUUAUGCUUAUAGAAUGUAGCGAAAUGAGUAGAUAUCAAAAGUAAAAACGAGAAUAAGAAAAUUAAUUCUUAAGGCGCAAUAUCGUUGAAAGGAAAUCAAAUUAUGCAAAUACAAAACUAAAGAAAUGAGGAAUAGACAACGCAAGAUCAAGAUAAAAAACAACCAAAGAAAUUAACGGAUUCAAAAUUAAUUUUCUAGUACACAGAUACAGUAGACAUAUAACAUGAAAACAUACAAGAUAAAUAUGAAGAACAUUGCAAAAUUUGAGAGAAUAGGGAAUACGGAGGAAACUUAUCCAAGAACUAAUUCUCAAUAAACUUUCCUUCACAACGGGAAACCUGAAAAUUCUACCCUUUCGCUUAAAGCAAGGUACAGAAAGGAUUAGAGAUCAAAUGUUAAAACCACAAUGUCCUUGAAAGUAAAUAAAAUUAUUUUGAUAAGAAACUAAAGAAAUGAGCAAUAGAAAACACAACAUAGAGCUCUAAAAAAAACAAUGAAAUCAAAGGAUUGAAAAUUCAUUCUCUACUACAUACACGUAGUCAACAAAUAACACUCAAACAAAAUAGAGACGAAUGAAGAACAAUGCGAAAUGGAGGAGAAUAGGUGAUACAAACAAACUACUCUUUUCCUCGGGAAACCUGAAAAUUCUACUUUCACGCUUACCUGACAAGUAUGUGUGUACUAGAAAAUUAAUUUUGAAUCCGUUAAUUUCUUUGUUUGUUUUUUAUCUUGACCUUGCAUUGUUUAUUCCUCAUUUCUUUAGUUUUGUAUCUACAUAAUUUGAUUUGCUUUCAACGAUAUUGUGCCUUAAGAGUUCAUUUUCUUAUUCUCGUUUUUACUUUUGAUCUGUACUCCUUUCGCUACAUUCGAUAAGCGUAAGGGUAAAAUUUUCAGGUUUCUCGAGGAAAAGAGAAGUUUGUUUGGAAAUACUUGUCAGGUAAGUUUUCUCUGUAUCCCCUAUUCUCCUCCAUUUCGCAUUGUUCUUCAUUCUUCUCUUUUAUGUUUAAGUGUUAUUUGUUGAAUUCGUGUAUGUAGUAGAGAAUGAAUUUUUAACCUUUUGAUUUCAUUGGGUUUUUUUUUUAUAGCUCUAUGUUGUGUUUUCUAUUACUCAUUUCUUGACUUCCUUAUCAAAGUAAUUUUAUUUACUUUCAAGUACAUUGUGCUUUGAAAAUUUGAUCUCUACUCCUUUCUCUACCUUGCUUUAAGCGUAAGCGUAGAAUUUUUCAGGCUUCCCGUGGUCAAGAGAGUUUUAAUGGGAAUUAAUUAUUCAAUAAGUUUCCUCCAUAUUCCCUAUUCUCUCAAAUUUUGCACUGUUCUUCAUAUUAAUCUUUUAUGUUUUCGGGUUAUAUGCCUACUGUAUGUGUGUACUAGAAAAUUAAUUUUGAAUCCACUUAUUUCUUUGCUUGUUUUUUAUCUUGAUGUUGCGUUGUCUAUUCCUCAUUUCUUUAGUUUUGUAGCUGCAUAAUUUGAUUUGCUUUCAACGAUAUUGUGCCUUAAGAGUUCAUUUUCUUAUUCUCGUUUUUACAUUUGCCAGGUAAGUUUUCUUUGUAUCCCCUAUUCUCGUUCAUUUCGCAUUGUUCUUCAUUCUUCUCUAUUAUGUUUUAGUGUUAUUUUUUUAAAUUCGUGUAUGUAGCAGAGAAUGAAUUUUCAAUCUUUUGAUUUCAUUGUUUUUUUUUAUAGCUCUAUGUUGUGUUUUCUAUUACUCAUUUCUUUACUUUUUUAUCAAAAUAAUUUUAUUUUCUUUGAAGUACAUUGUGGUUUUACAAUUUGAUUUCUACUCCUUUCUCUACCUUGCUUUAAGAGUAAGGGUAGAAUUUUCAAGUUUCCCGUGGUCAAGAGAAGUUUAUUAGGAAUUAGCUAUUCAAUAAGUUUCCUCUAUAUUCCCUAUUCCCUCAAAUUUUGCACGGUUCUUCGUAUUUAUCUUUUAUGUUUUCAUGUUAUAUGCCUACUGUAUGUGUGUAUUAGUAAAUUAAUUUUCAAUCCGUUAAUUUCUUUGCUUGUUUUUUUAUCUUGAUGUUGCGUUGUCCAUUCCUCAUUUCCUUAGUUUCGUAUAUGCAUAAUUUGAUUUCCUUUCAACGAUAUUGUGCCUUAAGUUUUAUAUUUCUUAGUCUCGUUUUUACAUUUGAUUUCUACUCCUUUCGCUACCUUUUAUAAGCGUAAGAGCAAAAUUUUCAGGUUUCCCAAGGAAAAGAGAAGCUUAUUUGGAAAUACUAGUCAUGUAAGUUUCCUCCGUAUCCCUUAUUCUCUUCUAUUUCGCAUUGUUCUUUAUUCUUCUCUUUUAUGUUUGAGUGUUAUUUGUUGACCGCAUGUAUGUAGUAGAGAAUUAAUUUUCAAUCCUUUGAUUUCUUUGUUUGUUUUUAAAAGCUUGAUGUUUUGUUUUCUAUUGCUCAUAUCUUUAGUUUCGUAUUCGAAUAAUUUUAUUUACUCUCAAGGACAUUGUGGUUUUAACAUUUGAUCUCUUCUCCUUUCUCUACCUUGCUUUAAGCAUAAGGGUAGAAUUUUCAAGCUUCCCGUGGUCAAGAGAAGUUUAUUGGGAAUUAGUUAUUCGAUAAGUUUCCUCCAUAUUCCCUAUUCUCUCAAAUUUUGCACUGUUCUUCAUAUUAAUCUUUUAUGUUUUCAUGUUAUAUGCCUACUGUAUGUGUGUAUUAGAAAAUUAAUUUUCAAUCCGUUAAUUUCUUUGCUUGUUUUUUUAUCUUGAUGUUGCGUUGUCUAUUCCUCAUUUUUAUAGUUUCGUAUAUGCAUAAUUUGAUUUCCUUUCAACGAUAUUGUGCCUUAAGUUUUAUAUUUCUUAGUCUCGUUUUUACAUUUGAUUUUCACUCCUUUCGCUACCUUCUAUAAGCGUAAAGGUAGAAUUUUCAGGUUUCCCGAGGAAAAAAGAAGCUUAUUUGGAAAUACUUGUCAGGUAAGUUUCCUCCAUAUCCCCUAUUCUUUUCCAUUUCGCAUUGUUCUUUAUUCUUCUCUUUUAUGUUUGAUUGUUAUUUGUUGACCGCAUGUAUGUAGUAGAGAAUUAAUUUUCAAUCCUUUGAUUUCUUUGUUUGUUUUUAAAAGCUUGAUGUUGUGUUUUCUAUUGCUCAUAUCUUUAGUUUCGUAUUCGAAUAAUUUUUCUACUCUCAAGGACAUUGUGGUUUUAACAUUUGAUCUCUACUCCUUUCUCUACCUUGCUUUAAGCAUAAGGGUAGAAUUUUUCAGGUUUCCAAUGGUAAAGAGAAGUUUAUUGGGAAUUAGUUCUUGGAUAAGUUUCCUCCGUAUUCCCUAUUCUCUCAAAUUUUGCACUGUNNNNNNNNNNNNNNNNNNNNNNNNNNNNNNNNNNNNNNNNNNNNNNNNNNNNNNNNNNNNNNNNNNNNNNNNNNNNNNNNNNNNNNNNNNNNNNNNNNNNGUAUUUCCACACUAUACUUCUCAUUUCCUCUGGAAUCUGUAUAUUUCUACUUUCGCGCUUACCAGACUAAGUACGUGUGUCAUCGAAAAUUAAUUCUGAAUCCGUUAAUUUCUUUGUUUGUUUUUUAUCUCGAUCUUACGUUGUCUAUUCCUCAUUUCUUUAGUUUAUACCUGCAUAAUUUGAUUUUCUUUCAAUGAUAUUGCGCCUUGAGAGUUAAUUUUCUUAUUCUCAAUUUUACAUUUGAUCUCUACUCCUUUCGCUACAUUCUAUAAGCGUAAGGGUAGAAUUUUCAAGUUUCCCGAGGAAAAGAGAAGUUUGUUUGAAAAUACUUGUCAGGUAAGUUUUCUCCGCAUCCCCUAUUCUCCUCCAUUUUGCAUUGUUCUUCAUUCUUCUCUUUUAUAUUUGAGUGUUAUUUGUUCACUGCCUGUAUGUUGUACAGAAUGAAUUUUCAAUCCUUUGAUUUCAUUGCUUUUUUUUAGAGCUCUAUGUUGUGUUUUCUAUUAUUCAUUUCUUUAGUUUUGUAUCAAAAUAAUUUUAUUUACUCUCAAGGACAUUGUGGUUUUAACAUUUGAUCUCUUCUCAUUUCUCUAUCUUGCUUUAAGCGUAAGGGUAGAAUUUUCAGGUUUCCCGUGGUCAUGAGAAGUUUAUUUCGAGUUAGUUCUUCAGUAAGUUUCCUCUAUAUUCCCUAUUCUCUCAAAAAUUUUGCACUGUUUCUCCUAUUUAUCUUUUCGUGUUAUAUGUCUACUGUAUGUGUGUACUAGAAAAUUAAUUCUGAAUCCGUUAAUUUCUUUGUCUAUUUUUUUUCUUGAUGUUGCGUUUUCUAUUCCUCAUUUCUUUAGUUUCGUAUAUGCAUAAUUUGAUUUCCUUUCAAGGAUAUUGCGCAAUAGUUAAUUUUCUUAUUCUCGUUUUUACAUUUGAUCUCUACUCCUUUCGCUACAUUCUCUAAGCGUAAGGGUAGAAUUUAAAGGUUUCCCAAGGAAAAGAGAAGUGUUUUUGGAAAUACUUGUCAGGUAAGUUUUCUCCGUAUCCCUUAUUCCCCACCACUUCGCAUUGUUCUUCAUUCUUCUCUUUUAUGUUUGAGUGUUAUUUGUUCACUGCGUGUAUCUAGUAGAGAAUUAAUUUUCAAUCCUUUGAUUUCAAUUUUUUUUUUUUUAUACCUCUAUGUUGUGUUUUCUAUUACUCAUUUCUUUAGUUUCGUAUCAAAAUAAUUUUAGUUACUUUCAAGUACAUUGUGGUUUUAAAAUUUGAUCUCUACUCCUUUCUCUACCUUGCUUUAAGCGUAAGGGUAGAAUUUUCAGGUUUCCCCUGGUCAAGAGAAGUUUAUAAGGAAUUAGUUCUUCGAUAAGUUUCCUCCAUAUUCACUAUUCUCUCAAAUUUUGCUUUGUUCUUCUUAUUUCUCUUUUAUGUUUUCGUGUUAUAUGUCUACUGUAUGUGCGUACUAUAUAAUUAAUUUUAUAUCCGUUAAUUUCAUUGUUUGUUUUUUAUCUUGAUGUUGUGUUGUCUAUUCCUCAUUUCUUUAAUUUGGUAUCCAUAUAAUUUUAUUUCCUUUCUACAAUAUUGUGCCAUAAGAGUUAAUUUUCUUAAUCUCGAUUUUACAUUUGAUCUCUACUCCUUUCGCUACCUUCUAUAAGCGUAAGGGUAGAAUUUUCAGGUUGCUCGAGGAAAAGAGAAGUUUAUGGGAAAAUACUUGUCAGGUAAGUUUCCUCCGUAUCCCCUAUUCUCCUCCAUUUGGAAUUGUUGUUCAUUAUUCUCUUUUAUGUUUGAGUGUUAUUUGUUGACCACAUGUAUGUAGUAGAUAAUUAAUUUUCAAUCCUUUGAUUACUUUGGCUUUUUUUAAAAGCUUGAUCUUGUGUUUUCUAUUCCUCAUUUCUUUAGUUUCUUAUCAAAAUAAUUUUAUUUACUUUCAAGGACAUUGUGGUUUUAACAUUUGAUCUCUACCCCUUUCUCUACUUUGCUCUAAGCACAAUGGUAGAAUUUUCAAGUUUUCGGUGGUGAAGAGAAGUUUAUUGGGAAUUAGUUCUCGGAUAAGUUUUCCCCAAAUUCCCUACUCUCUCAAAUAUUGUAUUGUUCUUCAUUUUUAUCUUGUAUGUUUUCAUGUUAUAUUUCUACUAUAUGUAUGUACUAGAUAAUUAAUUUUAUAUCCGUUAAUUUCUUUGUUUGUUUUUUAUCUUGAUGUUGCAUUCUGUAUUCCCCAUUUCUUUAGUUUCGUAUCCAUAUAAUUUUAUUUCCUUUCUACAAUAUUGUGCCAUAAGAGUUAAUUUUCUUAAUCUCGUUUUUAUAUUUAAUCUCUACUCCUUUCGCUACCUUCUAUAAGCGUACGGGUAGAACUUUCAGGUUUCCCUUUGAAAAUAGAAGUUUAUUUGAAAAUACUUGUCAUGUAAGUUUCCUCUGUAUCCCAUAUUCUCCUCCAUUUGGCAUUGUUGUUCAUUCUUCUCUUUUAUGUUAAAGUGCUAUUUGUUGACCGCAUGUAUGUAGUAGAGAAUUAAUUUUCACUCUUUUGAUUUUUUUUUUUUUUUAAGAGCUUGAUCUUGUGUUUUCUAUUCCUCAUUUCUUUAGUUUCGUAUCAGAAUAAUUUGAUUUACUUUAAAGGACAUUAUGGUUUUCACAUUUGAUCUGUACACCUUUCUCUACCUUUCCCAAUAAACUUCCCUUGACCUCAGGAAACCUGAAAAUUCUACCCUUAUGCUUAAAUCAAGGUAGAGAAAGGAGAAGAGAUCAAAUGUUAAAACCACAAUGUCCUAAAGAGUAAAUAAAAUUAUUCGGAUAUGAAACUAAAGAUAUGAGCAAUAGAAAACACAACAUCAAGCUUUUAAAAACAAACAAAUAUAUCAAAGGAUUGAAAAUAAACUCUCUACUACAUACAUGCGGUAAAAAAAUAACACUCAAACAUAAAAAGAGAAGAAUAGAGAACAAUGCGAAAUGGUAAAGAAUAAGGGAUACGGAGGAAACUUACCUGACAAGUAUUUCCAAAUGAGCUUCUCUUUUCCUCGAGACACUUGAAAAUUUUACUCUUAUGCUUAUAGAAAGUAGCGAAAGGAGUAGAGAUCAAAUGUAAAAACGAGAAUAAGAAAAUUAACUCUCAAGACACAAUAUCGUUGACAUGAAAUUAAAUUAUGCUGUUACGAAACUAAAAAAAUGAGAAUAGACAACGCAACAUCAGAAUAAAAAACAAACAAAGGAAUUAACAAAUUCAAAAAUAAUUUUCUAGUACACACAUACAGUAGACGCAUAAGAUGAAAACAUAAAAGAUAAAAAUGAAAAACAGUGCAAAAUUUGAGAGAAUAGGGAAUAGGGAGGAAACUUAUCAAAGAACCAAUUCCCAAUAAACUUCUAUUCACCACGGGAAACCUUAAAAUUCUACCCUUACGCUUAAAGCAAUGUAGAGAAAGGAGUAGAUAUCAAAUGUUAAAACCACAAUGUCCUUGGGAGUAAAUCAAAUUAUUUUGAUACAAAACUAAAAAAAUGAGGAAUAGAAAACACAACAUCAAGCUUUUAAAAAAAAAAACAAAGAAAUCAAAGGAUUGAAAAUUAAUUCUCUACUACACACAAGCGGUCAACAAAUAACACUCAAACAUAAAAGAGAAUAAUGAAGAACAAUGCAAAAUGGAGGAGAAUAGGGAAUACGGAGGAAACUUACCUGACAAGUAUUUCCCUAUAAACUUCUCUUUACCUCGAGAAACUUGAAAAUUCUACCCUUAUAUUUAUAGAAGGUAGCGAAAAGUGUAGACAUCAAAUGUAAAAAUGAUAAUAAGAAAAUUAACUCUUAAGGCUCAAUAUGGUUGAAAGGAAAUCAAAUUCUACUGAUACAAAACUAAAGAAAUGAGGAAUAGACAAUGCAACAUCAAGAUAAAAAACAAACAAAGAAAUUAAUGGAUUCAAUGUUAAUUUUCUAGAACACACAUAUAGUAGACAUAUAACACAAAAACAUAAAAGAUAAAUAAGAAGAACAACCAAGAUUUGAGAGAAUAGGGAAUAUGGAGAAAACUUACCGAAUAACUAAUUCCCAAUAAACUUCUCUUGACUAGGGGAAACCUGAAAAUUCUACCCUUACGCCUAAAACAAGGUAGAGAAAGGAGUAGAGAUCAAAUUUUAAAACCACAAUGUACUUGAAAGUAAAUAAAAAUUUUUUGAUAAGAAACUAAAGAAAUAAGAAAUAGAAAACACAACAUAGAGCUAUAAAAAAAAAACAAUGAAAUCAAAGGAUGGAAAAUUCAUUAUCUACUAAAUACACGCAGUGAACAAAUAACACUCAAACAUAAAAGAGAAAAAUACAUAACAAUGCAAAAUGGUGGAGAAUAGGAAAUACGAAGAAAACUUACUCGACAAGUAUUUCCAAAUACUCUUUUCCUUGGGAAACCUAAAAAAUUCUACCCUUACGCUUAUAGAAUGUAGCGAAAAGAGUAGAGAUCAAAAGUAAAAAUGAGAAUAAGAAAAUUAAUUCUUAAGGUGCAAUAUAGUUGAAAGGAAAUCAAAUUAUGCAAAUACAAAACUAAAGAAAAGAGGAAUAGACAACGCAAGAUCAAAAUUAAAAACAACCAAAGAAAUUAACGGAUUCAAAUUAAUUUUCUAGUACACACAUAUAGUAGACAUAUAACAUGAAAACAUACAAAAUAAAUAUGAAAAACAGUGCAAAAUUUGAGAGAAUAAGGAAUACGGAGGAACCUUAUUCAAGAACUAAUUCCCAAUAAACUUUCCUUCACCACGGGAAACCUGAAAAUUCUACCCUUACGCUUAAAGCAAGGUACAGAAAGGAUUAGAGAUCAAAUGUUAAAAUCACAAUGUCCUUGAAAGUAAAUAAAAUUAUUUUGAUAAGAAACUAAAGAAAUGAGUAAUAGAAAACACAAUAUAGAGCUCUAAAAAAACACAAUGAAAUCAAAGGAUUGAAAAUUAAUUCUCUACUACAUACACGUAGUCAACAAAUAACACUCAAACAAAACAGAGAAGAAUGAAGAACAAUGCGAAAUGGGGGAGAAUAGGGGAUACGAAGAAAACUUACUCGACAAGUAUUUCCAAACAAACUACUCUUUUCCUCGGGAUACCUUAAAAUUCUACUUUCACGCUUACCUGACAAGUAUGGGUGUACUAGAAAAUUAAUUUUGAAUCCGUUAAUUUCUUUGUUUAUUUUUUAUCUUGAUCUUGCGUUGUCUAUUCCUCAUUUCAUUAGUUUUGUAUCUACAUAAUUUGAUUUUCUUUCAACGAUAUUGUGCCUUAAGAGUUAAUUUUCUUAUUCUCGUUUUUACAUUUGAUCUCUACUCCUUCCGCUACAUUCUAUAAGCGUAAAGGUAGAAUUUUCAGGUUUCCCGAGGAAAAGAGAAGUUUGUUUGGAAAUACUUGUCAGGUAAGUUUUCUUCGUAUCCCCUAUUCUCCUCCAUUUCGCAUUGUUCUUCAUUCUUCUCUUUUUUGUUUGAGUGUUAUUUGUUGACUUCGUGUAUGUAGUAGACAACGAAUUUUCAAUCCUUUGAUUUCAUUGUUUUUUUUUAUAACUCUAUGUUAUGUUUUCUAUUACUCAUUUAUUUAGUUUCUUAUCAAAAUAAUUUUAUUUACUUUCAAGGACAUUGUGGUUUUAACAUUUGAUCUCUAAUCCUUUCUGUACCUUGCUUUAAGCGUAAAGGUAGAAUUUUCAGGUUUCCCGUGGUGAAGGAAAAGUUUAUUGGGAAUUAGUUCUUGGAUAAGGUUCCUCCGUAUUCCCUAUUCUCUCAAAUUUUGCACUGUUCUUCAUAUUUAUCUUGUAUGUUUUCAUGUUAUAUGUCUAUUGUAUGUAUGUACUAUAAAAUUAAUUUUGAAUCUGAUAAUGUCUUUGUUUAUUUUUUAUUUUUAUGGUGCGUUGUCUAUUCCUCAUUUCUUUAGUUUCGUAUCAACAUAAUUUGAUUUCCUUUCAACGAUAUUGUGCAUUAAGAGUUAAUUUUCUUAUUCUCGUUUUUACAUUUGAUCUCUACUCGUUUCGCUACAUUCUAUAAGCAUAAGGGUAGAAUUUUCAGGUUUCCCGAGGAAAGGAGAAGUUUUCAAUCCUUUGAUUUUAUUAUUUUCUUUUAGAGCUAUAUGUUGUGUUUUUCUAUUACUCAUUUCUUUAGUUUCUUAUCAAAAUAAUUUUAUUUACCUUCAAGGACAUUGUGGUUUUAACAUUUGAUCUCUACUCCUUUCGCUACAUUCUAUAAGCGUAAGGGUAGAAUUUUCAAGUUUCCCGAGGAAAAGAGAAGUUUGUUUGGAAAUACUUGUCAGGUAAGUUUUCUCCGUAUCCCCUAUUCUCCUUCAUUUCGCAUUGUUCUUCAUUCUUCUCUUUUAUGUUUGAGUGUUAUUUGUUGAAUUCGUGUAUGUAGUAGAGAAUGGAUUUUCAAUCUUUUGAUUUCAUUGUUUUUUUUUAGAGCUCUAUGUUGUGUUUUCUAUUAUUCAUUUCUUUAGUUUCAUAUCAAAUUAAUUUUAUUUACUCUCAAGGAUAUUGAUGUUUUAACAUUUAUUCUCUACACAUUUCUCAACUUGCUUUAAGCGUAAGGGUAGAAUUUUCAGGUUUCCCGUAGUGAAGAGAAGUUUAUUGGGAAUUAGUUAUUGGAUAAGUUUCCUCCGUAUUCCCUAUUCUCUCAAAUUUUGCGUUGUUCUUCAUUUUUAUCUUGUCAGUUUCCUCCGUAUCCUCUAUUCUCCUCCAUCUGGCAUUGUUAUUCAUUCUUCUCUUUUAUGUUUGAGUGUUAUUUGUUGACCGCGUGUAUGUAGUAGAGAAAUAAUUUUCAAUUCUUUGAUUUCGUUUUUUUUUUUUUUAAAAGCUUGAUGUUGUGUUCUCUAUUGCUCAUUUCUUUAGUUUCGUAUCCGAAUAAUUUUAUUUACUUUCAAGGACACUGUGGUUUUAACAUUUGAUCUUUUCUCCUUUCUCUACCUUGCUUUAAGCAUAAGGGUAGAAUUUUCAGGUUUCGCGUGGUCAAGAGAAGUUUAUUGGGAAUUAAUUCUUCGAUAAGUUUCCUCCCUAUUCCUUAUUCUCUCAAAUUUUGCAUUGUUUUUCAUAUUUAUCUUUUAUGUUUUCGUGUUAUAUGUCUACUGUAUGUGUGUACUAGAAAAUUAAUUUAUGAAUCCGUUAAUUUCUUUGUUUGUUUUUUAUCUUGAUCUUGCGUUGUGUAUUCCUCAUUUCAUUAGUUUCGUAUCUACAUAAUUUAAUUUCCUUUAACCGAUAUUGUGCCUUAAGAGUUAAUUUUCUUAUUCUCGUUUUUACAUUUGUAAUCUACUCAUUUCGCUACCUUCUAUAAGCGUAAGGGUAGAAUUUUUAGGUUUCCCCAGGAAAAGAAAUGUUUGUUUGGAAAUACUUGUCAGGUAAGUUUUCUCUGUAUCCACUAUUCUCCUCCAUUUUGUAAUGUUCUUCAUUCUUCUCUUUUAUGUUUGAUUGUUAUUUGUUGAUUGCGUGUAUAUAGUAGAUAAUGAAUUUUCAAUCCUUUGAUUUCAUUGUUUUUUUUUUUAGAGCUCUAUGUUGUGGUUUUUAUUACUCAUUUCUUUAGUUUCUUAUCAAAAUAAUUUUAUUUACUUUCAAGGACAAUGUGGUUUUAACAUUUGAUUUCUACUCUUUUCUCUACCUUGUUUUAAGCGUAAGAGUAAAAUUUUUAGGUUUUCCGUGGUGAAGAUAAGUUUAUUGGGAAUUAGUUCUUGGAUAAGUUUCCUCCGUAUUCCCUAUUCUCUCAAAUUUUGCACGGUUCUUCAUAUUUAUCUUGUAUGUUUUCGUAUUAUAUGUCUACUGUAUGUGUGUGCUAGAAAAUUAAUUUUGAUUCUGUUAACUUCUUUGUUUGUUUUUUAUCUUAAUUUUGCGUUGCUUAUUCCUCAUUUCUUUAGUUUCAUAUCUGCAUAGUUUGAUUUUCUUUCAACCAAAGCCUUAAGAGUUAAUUUUCUUAUUCUUGUUUUUACAUUUGAUCUCUACCCCUUUUGCUUCCUUCUAUAAGCGUAAAGGUAGAAUUUUUAGGUUUCCCAAAGAAAAGAGAAGUUUAUUGGAAAAUACUUGUCAGAUAAGUUUCCUCGAUAUACACUAUUCUCCUUCAUUACGCAUUGUAAUUCAUUCUGCUCUUUUAUGUUUGAGUGUUAUUUGUUGACUACAUGUAUGUAGUAGAGAAUGAAUUUUCAAUCUUUUGAUUUCAUUGUUUUUUUUUAGCUUUAUGUUGAGUUUUCUAUUACUCAUUUCUUAAGUUUCUUAUCAAAAUAAUUUUAUUUACUCUUAAGAAAAUUGUGGUUUUAACAUUUGAUCUCUACUCCUUUCUCGACCUUCCUUUAAGCGUAACGGUAGAAUUUUCAGGUUUCCCGUGGUGAGGAGAAGCUUUUUGGGAAUUAGUUCUUGUAUAAGUUUCCUCUGUAUUCCCCUAUUCUCUCAAAUUUUGCAUUGUUCUUCAUAGUUAUCUUGUAUGUUUUCGUGUUAUAUGUCCACUGUAUAUGUGUACUAGAAAAUUAAUUUUGAAUCCGUUAAUUUCUUUGUUUGUUUUUUAUCUUGAUCUUGCGUUGUCUAUUCCUCAUUUCUUUAGUUUCGUAUCAGCAUAAUUUAAUUUCCUUUCAACGAUAUUGUGUCUUGAGAGUUAAUUUUCUUAUUCUCGUUUUUACAUUUGAUCUCUACGCCUUUCGUUACUUUCUAUAAGCGUAAGGGUAGAAUUUUCAAGUGUCCCGAGGAAAUGAGAAGUUUAUUUGGAAAUACUUGUCAGGUAAGUUUCCUCUGUAUCCCUUAUUCUCUUCCAUUUCGCAUUGUUCUUUAUUAUUCUCUUUUAUGUUUGAGUGUUAUUUUUUAAUCGCAUGUAUGUAGUAGAGAAUAAAUUUUCAAUCCUUUGAUUUCUUUGUUUUCUUUUUAAAAGCUUGUUGUUGUGUUUUCUUCCUCAUUUCUUUAGUUUCGUAUCAGAAUAAUUUGAUUUACUUUCAAGGACAUUGUGCUUUUCACAUUUGAUCUAUACACCUUUCUUUAAGCAUAAGGGUAGAAUUUUCAGGUUUCCCGAGGUCAAGAGAAGUUUAUUGAGAAUUAGUUCUUCGAUAAGUUUCCUCCAUAUUCCCUAUUCUCUCAAAUUAUGCAUUGUUCUUCAUAUUUAUCUUUUAUGUUUUCGUGUUAUAUGUCUAUUGUAUGUAUGUACUAGAAAAUUAAUUUUGAAUCCGUUAAUUUCUUUAUUUGUUUUUUAUCUCGAUGUUGCGUUGUCUAUUCCUCAUUUUUUUAGUUUCGUAUCAGCAUAAUUUAAUUUCAUUUCAACGAUAUUGUGUCUUGAGAGUUAAUUUUCUUAUUCUCGUUUUUACAUUUAAUCUCUACUCCUUUCGCUACUUUCUAUAAGUGUAAGGGUAGAAUUUUCAAGUGUCCCGAGGAAAAGAGAAGUUUAUUUGGAAAUACUUGUCAGGUAAGUUUCCUCCGUAUUCCCUAUUCUCUUCCAUUUCGCAUUGUUCUUUAUUAUUCUCUUUUAUGUUUGAGUGUUAUUUGUUGACCACAUAUAUGUAGUAGAGAAUUAAUAUUCAAUCCUUUGAUUUCUUUGUUUUUUUUUUUAAAAGCUUGAUGUUGUGUUUUCUAUUCCUCAUUUCUUUAGUUUCGUAUCAGAAUAAUUUUGAUUUACUUUCAAGGACAUUGUGGUUUUCACAUUUGAUUUGCACUCCUUUCUCUACCUUUCUUUANNNNNNNNNNNNNNNNNNNNNNNNNNNNNNNNNNNNNNNNNNNNNNNNNNNNNNNNNNNNNNNNNNNNNNNNNNNNNNNNNNNNNNNNNNNNNNNNNNNNUGCAAAAUUUAAGAGAAUAGGGAAUACGGAGGAAACUUAUCCAAGAACUAAUUCCCCGUAAACUUCUCUUUACCACGGGAAACCUGAAAAUUCUACCCUUAUGCUUAAAGAAAGGUAAAGAAGGUGUACAGAUCAAAUGUGAAAACCACAAUGUCCUUGAAAGUAAAUCAAAUUAUUCUGAUACGAAACUAAAGAAAUGAGGAAUAGAAAACACAACAUCAAGCUCAUAAAAAAAACAAAGAAAUCAAAGGAUUGAAAAUUAAUUCUCUACAUACAUGCGGUUAACAAAUAACACUCAAACAUAAAAGAGAAGAAUCAAGAACAAUGCGAAAUGGAAGAGAAUAGGGGAUACGGAGGAAACUUACCUGAAGAGUAUUUCCAAAUAAACUUCUCUUUUCCUCGGGACACUUGAAAAUUCUACCCUUACGCUUAUAAAAAGUAGUGAUAAGAGUAGAGAUCAAAUGUAAAAACGAGAAUAAGAAAAUUAACUCUCAAGACACAACAUCAUUGAAAUCAAAUUAAAUUAUAUUGAUACGAAACUAAAAAAAUGAGGAAUAGACAACACAACAUCGAGAUAAAAAACAAACAAAGAAAUUAACGGAUAUAAAAUUAAUUUUCCAAUACACACAUACAGUAGACAUAUAACACGAAAACAUAAAAGAUAAAUAUGAAUAACAAUGCAAAAUUUAAGAGAAUAUGAAAUAUGGAGGAAACUUAUCGAAGAACUAAUUCCCAAUAAACUUCUCUUGACCUCAGAAAACCUAAAAAUUCUACCCUUAUACUUAAAGCAAGGUAGAGAAAGGAGAAGAGAUCAAAUGUUAAAACCACAAUGUCCUUGAGAGUAAAUAAAAUUAUUCGGAUACGAAACUAAAGAAAUGAGUAAUAGAAAACACAACAUCAAGCUUUUAAAAAAAAACAAAGAAAUCAAAGGAUUGAAAAUUAAUUCUCUACUACAUACAUGCAGUCAACAAAUAAUACUCAAACAUAAAAGAGAAUAAUAAAGAACAAUGCAAAAUCGAAGAGAAUAGGGGAUACAGAGGAAACUUACCUGACAAGUAUUUCCAAAUAAACUUCUCUUUUCCUCGGGACACUUGAAAAUUCUACCUUUACGCUUAUAGAAAGUAUCAAAAGGAGUAGAGAUCAAAUGUUAAAACAAGAAUAAGAAAUUAACUCUCAAGGCACAAUAUCUUGAAAGGAAAUUAAAUUAUGCUGAUACGAAACUAAAGAAAUGAGGAAUAGACAACGCAACAUAAAGAUAAAAGACAAAAAAAGAAAUUAACGGUUUCAAAAUUAAUUUUCUAGUACACACAUACAGUUGACAUAUAACACGAAAACAUACAAGAUAAUUAUCAAGAACAAUGCAAAAUUUGAGAGAAUAGGGAAUACGGGGGAAACUUAUACAAGAACUAAUUCCCAAAAAGCUUCUCUUCACCACGGGAAACCUGAAAAUUCUACUGUUACGCUUAAAGGAAGGCCGAGAAAGGAGUAGAGAUCAAAUGUUAAAACCACAAUUUUCUUAAGAGUAAAUAAAAUUAUUUUGAUAAGAAACUUAAGAAAUGAGUAAUAGAAAACUCAACAUAGAGCUCUAAAAAAAAACAAUGAAAUCAAAGGAUUGAUAAUUCAUUCUCUACUACAUACAUGCAAUCAACAAAUAAUACUCAAAACACAAAAGAGAAGAAUGAAGAACAAUACGUAAUGAAGGAGAAUAGGGGAUACGGAGGAAACUUACCUGACAAGUAUUUCACAAUAAACUUCUCUUUUCUUUGGGAAACCUAAAAAUUCUACCCUUACGCUUAUAUAAGGUAGCGAAAGGAGUAGAGAUCAAAUGUAAAAACGAGAAUAAGAAAAUUAACUCUUAAGGCUCGUUGAAAGAAAAUCAAAUUAUGCAGAUACGAAACUAAAGAAAUGAGGAAUAGACAACGCAAGAUAAAGAUAAAAAACAAACGAAGAAAUUAACAGAAUCAAAAUUAAUUUUCUAGCACACACAUACAGUAGACAUAUACACGAAAACAUACAAGAUAAAUAUGAAGAACAUUACAAAAUUUGAGAGAAUAGGGAAUACGGAGGAAACUUAUCCAAGAACUAAUUCCCAAUAAACUUAUCUUCACCACGGAAAAGCUAAAAAUUUUACUCUUACGCUUAAAAUAAGGUAGAGAAAAGAGUAGAAAUCAAAUGUUAAAACCACCUUGUCCUUGAAAGUAAAUAAAAUUAUUUUGAUAAGAAACUAAAGAAAUGAGUAAUAAAAACCACAACAUAGAGCUCUAAAAAAAACAAUGGAAUCAAAGGAUUGAAAAUUCAUUCUCUACUACAUAUACACAGUUAACAAAUAACAAUCAAACAUAAAAGAGAAGAAUGAAGAACAAUGCAAAAUAGAGGAGAAUAGGGGAUACGGAAAAAACUUACCUGACAAGUAUUUCCAAACAAACUUCUCUUUUCCUCGGGAAACCUAAAAAUUCUAACCUUACGCUUAUAGAAGGUAGCGAAAGGAGUAGAUAACAAAUGUAAAAACGAGAAUAAGAAAAUUAACUCUUAUGGCACAAUACCGGUUAAAGGAAAUCAAAUUAUGCAGAUAUGAAACUAAAGAAAUGAGGAAUACACAACGCAAGAUCAAGAUAAAAAACAAACAAAGAAGUAAACGGAUUCAUAAAUUAAUUUUCUAGUACACACAUACAGUAGACAUAUAACACGAAAACAUAAAAGAUAAAUAUGAAAAACAGUACAAAAUUUGAGAGAAUAGGGAAUAGGGAGGAAACUUAUCGAAGAAUUAAUUUUCAAUAAACUUCUCUUGACCACGCGAAACCUGAAAAUUCUAUCCUUAUGCUUAAAGCAAAGUAGAGAAAGGAAAAGAUAUCAAAUGUUAAAACCACAGUGUCAUUGAAAGUAAAUAAAAUUAUUCGGAUACGAAACUAAAUAAAUGACCAAUAGAGAACACAACAUCAAGCUUUUAAAAACAAACAAAGAAAUUAAAGGAUUGAAAAUUAAUUCUCUACUACAUACAUGCAAUCAACAAAUAACACUCAAACAUAAAAGAAAAGAAUGAAGAACAAUGCAAAAUGGAGGAGAAUUGGGGAUACGGAGGAAACUUACCUGAUAAGUAUUUCCAAAUAAACUUCUCUUUUCCUUCACAAACCUGAAAAUUCUACCCUUACGCUUAAAGCAAGGUAGAGAAAAGAGUAGAGAAUAAAUGUUAAAACAUCAAUGUCCUUGAGAGUAAAUAAAAUUAAUUUGAUACGAAACUAAAGAAAUGAAUUAGAAAAUACAACAUAGAGCUCUAAAAAAAACAAUGAAAUCAAAGGAUUGAAAAUUCAUUCUCUACUACAUACAUGCAGUCAACAAAUAACACUCAAAACAUAAAAGAAAAGAAUGAAGAACAAUGCAAAAUGGAGGAGAAUUGGGGAUACGGAGGAAACUUACCUGAUAAGUAUUUCCAAAUAAAAUUCUCUUUUCCUUCGCAAACCUAAAAAUUCUACCCUUACGCUUAUAGAAUGUAGCGAAAGUAGUAAAGAUUAAAUGUAAAAACGAGCAUAAGAAAAUUAACUCUUAAGGCACAAUAUCGUUGAAAUGAAAUCAAAUUAUGUUGAUACGAAACUAAAGAAAUGGGGAAUAGCUAACGCAACAUCAAGAUAAAAACAAACAAACAAAUUAACGAAUUCAAAAUUAGUUUUCUAGUACACACAUACAGUAGACAUAUAACAGGAAUUUCGUGCACCACGCGUGCCACCGUUCGUGCACCAUGGCGUACCACCUUCUGUGCACCGCGGCGUGCCACCAUCCGUGCACCGCAGCGUGCCACCAUCCGUGCACCACAGCGUGCCACCGUUCGUGCACCGCACACGCAAGGACUCAUGCCACCACGCGUCCAAGGACGCGUGCCAUCGCGCAUGCUAAGACACCUUCCACCGUGCAUGCGGUGUUCAUGCAUCGCACGUGCCACAGUCUAUGCACUACACACGCAAGGACUCAUGCCACCCCGCAUGCAAAGACCAGUGCCACCAUACGUGGAAAGACACGUGCCACCGUCCGUGCACCGCACAUGCAAGGCGCAAGGACGAGUGCCAUCGCGCGUGUAAGGACGAGUGCCACCACGCGUGUAAGGACGAGUGCCGCACAUGCCACCAUUCGUGCACGCGUGCCACCGUCCAUGCACCGCAUACACAAGGCACAAGGACGCAUGCCACCGUGCAUGCAAAGACGAGUGCCAGCACGCGUGCAAGAACGUGUGCCAUCGCGUGCAUGCAAAGACGCGUGCACAGUUUCGUGCACCACGCGUGCCACCAUCCAUGCACCUGUGCAUGCCACCAUUCGUGCAUCACGCAGGCCAUCGUUCGUGCAUCGCGCAGGCCACACCGUCCAUGCGGUACAAGGCGCAAGGACACAUGUCACUGCGCAUGCAAGGACAAGUGCCACCACGCUUGGAAGGACAAGUGCCACCGCACAUGUCACCGUUCGUGCACCACGCAUGUCACUGUCCAUGCACCGUACACACAAGACGCAAGGACGCAUGCCAUUGUGCAUGCAAAAACGAGUGCCACCACAAGGGCACAUGCCACUGCGAGUGCAAGGACAAUUGCCAUCGUGGGUGCAAGGACAAUUGCCACCGUGGGUGCAAGGACGCGUGCCACCGUGCAUGCAAGGACGAGUGUCACCGCACAUGCAAGGACGUGUCACCGCACAUGCAAGGAUGAGUGCCACCGCGCAUGCAAGGACGAGUGCCACUGCGCAAGCAAGGACGAGUGACAGCGUGCAUUUAGACGAGUGCCACCAUGCAUGCCACCAUUUGUGCACCGCGCAUGCCAUCAUCCAGAUGGCACACGCAAGGCGCAAGGGCGCAAGGACGCAUGUCAUCGCGCAUGCAAAAACACCACACGUGCUACGCGUGUCACCGUCUAUGCACCGCCCGAGCUACCAUUUGUGUACCGUCCGUGCACCGUGCGUGCCAUAGUCUAUGCACCACGCAUGCCAUCAUCUGCCACUGUCCGAGGAACCGCGUGUGCCACCAUCCGUGCAUCGCACAUGCAAGGCACAAGGACGCAUGCCACUACGAGUUCAAGGAUGCGUGCCACCGCGCAUGCCACUGGACAUGCACCGUUCGUGCCAUGCCACCGCUACACACGCAAGGCGCAAGGACACAUGCCACGACAAAUGCAAAGACUAGUGUCACCACACGUGCAAGAACGCGUACAAGGACGCUUGCACACGUCCGUGCACCACGCGUGCCACCGUCCCUGCGGUGCAAGGCGCAAGAACGCAUGCCACGAACGGUGUCACCACGCGUGCAAGGAUGAGUGCCACCGCGCGUGCCAUCGUCCAUGCACGGCGCGUGCCACCAUCCGUGCACCGCGCGUGCCACCGUCCGUGCACCGCAAAUGCAAGGCACAAGGACGCAUGCCACUGCGAGUGCAAAGACGCAUGCCACUACGCGUGCAAGGACGAGUGCUACCACACGUGCAAGAACGUGUGCCACUGCGCGUGCAAGGACGCGUGCCACCACGCGUGCAAGAACGCGUGCCACCACGCGUGCAAGAACGCAUGCCACCACGCGUGCAAGAACGCGUGCCACCGUUCGUGCACCGCAAAUGCAAGGCGCAAGGACGCAUGCCACUACGAGUGCAAGGACGUGUGCCACUGCGCGUGCAAGGAUGCAUGCCACCACGCAUGCAAGGACGAGUGUCACCAUGCGUGCAAGAACGCGUGCCACCGUCCGUGCACCGCGCGUACCACCGUCUGUGCACUGCAAAUGCAAGGCGCAAGGACGCAUGCCACUACAAGUGCAAGGACGCAUGCCACUACGAGUGCAAGGACGCAUGCCACUACGAGUGCAAGGACACAUGCAACUGCGCGUGCAAGGACGAGUGCCACUACAAGUGCAAUGUUGUGUUUUCUAUUACUCAUUUCUUUACUUUCUUAUCAAAAUAAUUUUAUUUUCUUUGAAGUACAUUGUGGUUUUACAAUUUGAUUUCUACUCCUUUCUCUACCUUGCUUUAAGAGUAAGGGUAGAAUUUUCAGGUUUCCCGUUGUCAAGAGAAGUUUAUUGGGAAUUAAUUAUUCGAUAAGUUUCCUCUAUAUUCCCUAUUCCCUCAAAUUUUGCACGGUUCUUCAUAUUUAUCUUUUAUGUUUUCGUGUUAUAUGCCUACUGUAUGUGUGUAUUAGAAAAUUAAUUUUCAAUCCGUUAAUUUGUUUGCUUGUUUUUUUAUCUUGAUGUUGCGUUGUCUAUUCCUCAUUUCCUUAGUUUCGUAUAUGCAUAAUUUGAUUUCCUUUCAACGAUAUUGUGCCUUAAGUUUUAUAUUUCUUAGUCUCGUUUUUACAUUUGAUUUCUACUCCUUUCGCUACCUUCUCUAAGCGUAAGGCCAGAAUUUUCAGGUUCCCCGAGGAAAAGAGAAGCUUAUUUGGAAAUACUUGUCAGGUAAGUUUCCUCUGUAUCCCUUACUCUCUUUCAUUUCGCAUUGUUUUUUAUUCUUCUUUUUUAUGUUUGAGUGUUAUUUGUUGACCACAUGUAUGUAGUAGAUAAUUAAUUUUCAAUCCUUUGAUUUCUUUGUUUGUUUUUAAAAGCUUGAUGUUGAGUUUUUUAUUGCUCAUAUCUUUAGUUUCAUAUCCGAAUAAUUUUAUUUACUCUCAAAGACAUUGUGGUUUUAACAUUUGAUCUCUUCUCCUUUCUCUACCUUGCUUUAAGCAUAAGGGUGGAAUUUUCAGGCUUCCCGUGGUCAAGAGAAGUUUAUUGGGAAUUAGUUAUUCGAUAAGUUUCCUCCAUAUUCCCUAUUCUCUCAAAUUUUGCAUUGUUCUUCAUAUUAAUCUUUUAUGUUUUCGUGUUAUAUGCCUACUGUAUGUGUGUAUUAGAAAAUUAAUUUUCAAUUCGUUAAUUUGUUUGCUUGUUUUUUUUAUCUUCAUUUUGCGUUGUCUAUUCCUCAUUUCCUUAGCUUCGUAUAUGCAUAAUUUGAUUUCCUUUCAACGAUAUUGUGCCUUAAGUUUUAUAUUUCUUAGUCUCGUUUUUACAUUUGAUUUCUACUUCUUUCGCUACCUUCUAUAAGCAUAAGGGUAGAAUUUUCAGGUUUACCGAGGAAAAGAGAAGCUUAUUUGGAAAUACUUGUCAGGUGAGUUUCCUCCGUAUCCCUUAUUCUUUUCAAUUUCGCAUUGUUCUUUAUUCUUCUAUUUUAUGUUUGAGUGUUAUUAUUUGUUGACCGCAUGUAUGUAGUAGAGAAUUAAUUUUCAAUCUUUUGAUUCCUUUGUUUGUUUUUAAAAACUUGAUGUUGUGUUUUCUAUUCCUCAUAUCUUUAGUUUCGUAUCCGAAUAAUUUUAUUUACUCUCAAGGAAUUUGUGGUUUUAACAUUUGAUCUCUACUCCUUUCUCUACCUUGCUUUAAACAUAAGGGUAGAAUUUUCAUAUUUCUCGUGGUAAAGAGAAGUUUAUUAGGAAUUAGUUCUUGGAUAAGUUUCCUCUGUAUUCCCUAUUCUCUCAAAUUUUGCACUGUCUACUGUAUGAGUGUACGAGAAAAUUACUUUUGAACCCGUAAAAAAAACAAAGAAAUGUUAAAGAACUAAUUCCCAAUAAACAUCUCUUCACCACGGAAAACCUGAAAAUUCUACCUUUCCGCUUAAAGCAAGGUAGAGAAAGGAGUAGAUAUCAAAUGUUAAAACCACAAUGUCCUUGAAAGUAAAUCAAAUUAUUCUAAUACGAAACUAAAGAAAUGAAGAAUACAAAACACAACAUCAAGCUUUUUAAAAAAAACAAAGAAAUCAAAGGAUUGAAAAUUAAUUCUCUACUACACACAAGCGGUCAACAAAUAACACUCAAACAUAAAAGAGAAUAAUGAAGAACAAUGCGAAAUGGAAGAGAAUAGGUGAUACGGAGGAAACUUACCUGACAAGUAUUUCCAAAUAAGCUUCUCUUUUCCUCGGGAAACCUGAAAAUUCUACCCUUAUGCUUAUAUAAGGUAGCGAAAGGAGUAGAAAUCAAAUGUAAAAACGAGACUAAGAAAUAUAAAACUUAAGGCACAAUAUCGUUGAAAGGAAAUCAAAUUAUGCAUACACGAAACUAAGGAAAUGAGGAAUAGACAACGCAAAAUCAAGAUAAAAAAACAAACAAACAAAUUAACGAAUUGAAAAUUAAUUUUCUAAUACACACAUACAGUAGGCAUAUAACACGAAAACAUAAAAGAUAAAUAAGAAGAACAACGCAAAAUUUGAGAGAAUAGGGAAUAUGGAGAAAACUUAUCGAAGAACUAAUUCCCAAUAAACUUCUCUUGACAAGGGGAAACCUAAAAAUUCUACCCUUACGCUUAAAGCAAGGUAGAGAAAGGAGCAGAUAUCAAAUUUUAAAACCACAAUGUACUUGAAAGUAAAUAAAAUUUUUUUGAUAAGAAACUAAAGAAAUGAGAAAUAGAAAACACAACAUAGAGCUCUAAAAAAAAACAAAUGAAAUCAAAGGAUUGAAAAUUCAUUAUCUACUAGAUACACGUAGUGACCAAAUAACACUCAAACAUAAAAGAGAAGAAUAAAGAACAAUGCAAAAUGGUGGAGAAUAGGAGAUACGAAGAAAACUUACUCGACAAGUAUUUCCAAACAAACUACUUUUUUCCUCGAGAAACCUUAAAAUUCUACUUUCACGCUUACCUGACAAGUAUGUGUGUACUACAAAAUUAAUUUUGAAUUCGUUAAUUUCUUUAUUUGUUUUUUAUCUUGNNNNNNNNNNNNNNNNNNNNNNNNNNNNNNNNNNNNNNNNNNNNNNNNNNNNNNNNNNNNNNNNNNNNNNNNNNNNNNNNNNNNNNNNNNNNNNNNNNNNNNNNNNNNNNNNNNNNNNNNNNNNNNNNNNNNNNNNNNNNNNNNNNNNNNNNNNNNNNNNNNNNNNNNNNNNNNNNNNNNNNNNNNNNNNNNNNNNNNNNNNNNNNNNNNNNNNNNNNNNNNNNNNNNNNNNNNNNNNNNNNNNNNNNNNNNNNNNNNNNNNNNNNNNNNNNNNNNNNNNNNNNNNNNNNNNNNNNNNNNNNNNNNNNNNNNNNNNNNNNNNNNNNNNNNNNNNNNNNNNNNNNNNNNNNNNNNNNNNNNNNNNNNNNNNNNNNNNNNNNNNNNNNNNNNNNNNNNNNNNNNNNNNNNNNNNNNNNNNNNNNNNNNNNNNNNNNNNNNNNNNNNNNNNNNNNNNNNNNNNNNNNNNNNNNNNNNNNNNNNNNNNNNNNNNNNNNNNNNNNNNNNNNNNNNNNNNNNNNNNNNNNNNNNNNNNNNNNNNNNNNNNNNNNNNNNNNNNNNNNNNNNNNNNNNNNNNNNNNNNNNNNNNNNNNNNNNNNNNNNNNNNNNNNNNNNNNNNNNNNNNNNNNNNNNNNNNNNNNNNNNNNNNNNNNNNNNNNNNNNNNNNNNNNNNNNNNNNNNNNNNNNNNNNNNNNNNNNNNNNNNNNNNNNNNNNNNNNNNNNNNNNNNNNNNNNNNNNNNNNNNNNNNNNNNNNNNNNNNNNNNNNNNNNNNNNNNNNNNNNNNNNNNNNNNNNNNNNNNNNNNNNNNNNNNNNNNNNNNNNNNNNNNNNNNNNNNNNNNNNNNNNNNNNNNNNNNNNNNNNNNNNNNNNNNNNNNNNNNNNNNNNNNNNNNNNNNNNNNNNNNNNNNNNNNNNNNNNNNNNNNNNNNNNNNNNNNNNNNNNNNNNNNNNNNNNNNNNNNNNNNNNNNNNNNNNNNNNNNNNNNNNNNGAGUUAUUUUUCUUGGUCUCAUUUUUACAUUUGAUCUCUACUCCUUUCACUACAUUCUAUAAGCGUAAGGGUAGAAUUUUCAGGUUUCCCGAGGAAAAGAGAAGUUUGUUUGAAAAUACUUGUCAGGUAAGUUUUCUCCGUAUCCCCUAUUCUCCUCCAUUUCGCAUUGUUCUUCAUUAUUCUCUUUUAUAUUUGAGUGUUAUUUGUUCACUGCGUGUAUCUAGUAGAUAAUGAAUUUUCAAUCCUUUUAUUUCAUUGUUUUUUUUAGAGCUCUAUGUUGUGUUUUCUAUUUCUCAUUUCUUUAGUUUCUUAUCAAAAAAAUUUUAUUUACUUUCAAGUACAUUAUGGUUUUAAAAUUUGAUCUCUACUCCUUUCUCUACCUUGCUUUAAGCGUAAGGGUAGAAUUUUUAGGUUUCCCCUUGUCAAGAGAAGUUUAUUGGGAAUUAGUUCUUCGAUAAGUUUUCUCCAUAUUCCCUAUUCUCUGAAAUUUUGCGUUGUUCUUCUUAUUUAUCUUUUAUGUUUUCGUGUUAUAUGCCUACUGUAUGUGUG